rnacentral:tRNA from 1 species
CUCCUAUUUACUAGGCAGGCACUUUAACCAACUAAGCCACGGCGCCACACGUCUUCUGUACAACGUGUAGAUCAUUACAAUGUUCAAGGGAAACCGGGCUGAUUUUUCUCACUGCAGUAAAAUCUUGUACCUACGACAAACAGAACUUUUCUAAGUAAGACCCACAGUUUCCUCCAAAAAAGUCAGAAAUCAACUCAAUCAAGAUGUUGCAAUUGCUUCAGUCUUUCAACUACAAGUCAAUGCACUCUCUAUGGCACCACAAAGUCAUUGCAAUUUAAUGCAGACAAGUGGAAUAUUUCUGAAAUGUUGAGCUUCUUUGUUCUGCAUCAAAAGCAAAUAAAUAGCACAACUUUCGACUCUGGUGGGACUCGAACCCACAACCUUUGAAUUGCUCCAUCUUAUCAUCUAGAAGUCCAAUGCGCUAUCCAAUGUGCCACAGAGCUUGCAGAGCCCUUCUUGAUCAAGGCUGACUGAUUUUCCAGGAAAACAACUGUUGCAAGUCUAAAAAAGAAGUAGUCUUAACUCAAAGAUCAAUACAAAUUGAUCAAACCAAAGGCACCGCUGCACCCAGCCUUAGUGCUGGAGAAACUUCACUAAAAACUCACCCUUAUUACUCUGCACUUUAGCAGAGUGGCUCUUACUGCUUUAUAAUACCUGGCUGGUAGAAUUCAUACAUAAAACCCAAAUUUUGGGGAAAUUUUUUGUGUGCCUUAUAGUCCAAAAAAACUAAUUCAGUCAGUCUAUGGCACAUAUACAUUGAAACAGAGAUUGUUGAGUUGAAUUAACUUAAAACUGGGUUUAGUUUGUUGCCAUUGAUCGCUUCUUUUACACUGGCUUCUGGUAAAAUCUGUUUGCAUACUGGGUGUGUCCCCCAGUUUCUGGCUCUCACCAUCAGUCUGAAGGGAUUCCCCCCAUAGCGCUUAUCCUGCAAAAGAACCUUCUUUCAGAGGUGUAAGAAUCUUUUCAGUGAAUGGUCCCACCAGUUGUAGUGGAAUGGUCAGAACUUCACAUUAUACAGCAGCAACAGAGAGCGUUACACAGCGUCAGUGAACACGGGUCACGCUAAAGAACCUAGUAGUGUUCUUUGGUUCCCGCUGCAAAUGCACGUUCCUGGUUUCGGAACCUAGUUUUCUUGGUGGAAACAUGGCAAACUGUUCAACAUUAG